AUGAAUAAGCCAACCAUUUGCCAUAUCUGCAUUAUGAAUUGCACAUUGCCCCUGCAGGUUAAAAAUGCCAUGUUAGCAGGAGCCAUAGGAAUCAUCCUGUACUCAGAUCCAGCUGACUACUUUGCUCCUGAGGUACAGCCAUAUCCCAAAGGAUGGAAUCUUCCUGGAACUGCAGCCCAGAGAGGAAAUGUGUUAAAUUUGAAUGGUGCUGGUGACCCACUCACUCCAGGCUAUCCAGCAAAAGAAUACACUUUCAGACUUGAUGUUGAAGAAGGAGUGGGAAUCCCCAAAAUACCUGUACAUCCCAUUGGAUAUAAUGAUGCAGAAAUAUUAUUACGCCACUUGGGAGGAAUGGCUCCACCAGAUGAGAGCUGGAAGGGAGCCUCAAUGUGAGUUAUAGUAUCGGACCUGGCUUUACAGGGAUAAUUCUUCCAGGUAAUUUUGCAUUACUUUAAUAGUCCUGAAAAAGUUUUAUAUUUUUACUGGAAACAUGUCAAGAUAACUGUUCUGCCAGGGAUAAUUUGCUUAUCUCUUUUUCUCUUUUUUAUUACUAAACAAUUAACAAUUUUACAUUACUUAAGAAGUACUUACAAAAUGAAAUAUGGGAUUCUUUCACUAGUAAUAUCACAAUAUUAGUUUCAUAGAAUCUCAAAAAUUACUACAUUUGAAUUCUAAGUUUUAACAUUUCAAAGAUUUUUCAAAAUUCUCUCUUCACCUAAUUUUUAAAAUCGUUUUUCAAAUGACUUUCAAAGUGAUAUACAUGUGAAAAACUAGGUGAAGGUGCUGGGUGUGGUGGCUCACGCCUGUAAUCCCAGCAUUUGGGAGGCGAGGCAGGCGGAUCACCUGAGGUUGGGAGUUUGAGACCGGCCUGGCCAACAUGAAGAAACCCCUUUCUACUAAAAAUACAAAAAUCAGCCAGGCGUGGUUGUACAUGCCUGUAAUCCCAGCUACUUGGGAGGCUGAGGCAGGAGAAUCGCUUGAACCCGGGAGGUGAAGGUUGCGGUGAGCCGAGAUGCGCCAUUGCACUGAGACUGGGCAACAAGACUGAAACUCCAUCUCAAAAAAAAAAAAAAAAAACCUAGGUGAACUUAAGGGAGAAGGAAAGAUGAAGAGAGAAGGGAACCAACAUUUAUAGAUCACUUACUGUGUGUGUUAAAUGAGUUCAAAUGGAUAAAUCACAUAGCUACUAUAAGGCUCAAUAGAAUUAAUAUUACAAUUAUUAUUGUUAUAAAACAUGAUAACACUCUUCUAGAAGAGAUGUGAUCACAAAUUGCGUGUUUAUUGAGCUUAGUCUUACAGAAAGAGUGAAAGUUUACCACUGGGUCAAGGCAGGCAAGAAAUGCCAACUAGAGAAAUCAGCUUGUACAGUUGUUGAACAGCAUGGCAUGAUCAGAACUUCAAGAAGUUUGAUUUGCCUGAAAUGUGAUGGGAGAGAAAAAUGUAAUACUGAUAAAUCAGAGUGCAUAUAACUGUUUUUAUUAACCAAAAGUAUUGAAUCAGUCUUGUUUGCUAACAUUUACCCUUAACUAUGUGAAUUUGGAUUCUCAGAAUAUUUUUUAGUUUCUGUAAGAUUUCUUUAUUCCAGAAAUUUUAAAGUAUUAGAAGUCCAAUUUCCUUGUUUUAAAAUAAGUUUAUAAAUGUUUGAUUUAUAUUGUGUUAUCUCUAUAAUUCAAUCAGAACAGUGUUCUUUUAAUUUAAGAGACUAUUAUCUUAUUUGGCUUAUACCCUCCAGAGAAAGGAAAACAUAACUUAUUCAAUGAAAGGUAAAGCCCUUUCUGAUUUAUAAGCAGAAACAUAUAGACAGAGAAAACAUAUAACUUCAAUUCUACACUUUUAGUAACAAUUAAAGAGUAAACUCAAAAACAUAAACAUUCCUAGGUCUAGAUAUAAAAUAGCCGUGCUCCUUCAGUGUGAGCACAGAAUUCUCUAUUGGUUAGAACUCAAAGUGGACAAAUACACAAACAACAACAACAAAACUAAAAGCUAGAUUCUCUCAUGUCUCACCUCACAGAGAUCUCGAUAAUCCAUUUACAGAUAUUAUCAAAUGACAAGACAUAAAGGCAAACUCCAGAUCAUUGCUGCCACCAAUGAGGAAUAACUUAAUCUGCCCUGAGCAAUGCGGAAACAUAAAACACAACAUCAGUAGAGAAAAAAUAAAGCUAGGGAUACAGAGUAUCAGCAAAGUUAAAUUUCUUCUGUUGCUUAGAAUUUACAUGUGAGAGCCAAAAGAAGAUAUGAAUUGGUUUAAGCUGCCCAUACCUGGUUCUGCAAAAUGAAUCCAUUGUACCUCAAAGUGGAACCUCCAAAAAUCUUCCACAGUGAGGAAAGGAACACAAACAUUCACUAGACAGAUUGUGCAUUUCAGUGGAAUUGAAUUAUUUGCAUUACUUUCAUAUUUCUACAAGUUAACUUCUUUCUCUACAGAGCUGUAAAAUAGUCUAGUUAAGAACACUGACAGGUAAAGGUGACCAUAAUGAAUGGAUGAGCCGAAGUUUUUCCCAAUUUUUCCUUACAGGAUAUAUUCAUUAUUUCCACAAUAUUUCUUGAGCAUUUCCUAUGCCCCGGGCACCAUUCUGGGUUCUGGUGAUUCUGCAGUGAACAAAGCAGGCAAAAAAUCUCCUCCCUGUGGAGACUCCAUUCUGGAGUUCAGUUUAGGAAACGUGAUAAAGUAAUAAUGGGCAAAAUAUAUAUUCUUCUGGAGCUCAAAUCUAAAAACGAGAAAGACAUAGGUUUAAGAUGGAGAUGUGCUUCUUUGAGAAUCUUAGCAGAUAGCCUAUGUUUUUGUUUAGACUAAUAUCAAUUUUUUUCAUUCCUCAUAUGUUGCAUUUUUCUUUACUUGAUUUUUUCUGUUAAUGACACAAUACCAAUGAAUUUAGGUUUCUUACUAAUCAUAUAUUUAAGGCCCAUAUUUUUAGAAACACAUGCUAAACAUAUUUCUUCUUUUCUGCUAUUAAUUUUCAUCUGUCAGUAGCAAAAGAAAUCAUUUACUUAAUGCCUUAAAAUGAAAAAAAAAAUACCCAUCGAUUAGUUUUCCUCUGAGGUAAUCUUAGUUAUAUUGCGAAUGGAUUAAAUAUCAGAAGCACAGUAUACUUUUGGUGGGGGUGGGGGAAGCCAGAAUUUGUUCUUAACAAUAUACAAGUUUCAGGGUCUUAUUCGUUCUUCCAUCACAAACUAGAAACAACUACGUUCC
rnacentral:lncRNA from 1 species